CGGAGCGCUCAGUAACGGCUUUUUGAGUUACCGAGGAGAUGGAGAGGGGGGCUUGUAAACCACGGCGAAACUGACUCGCGCGAAGGCAAAGGUCAGAGCCGUUGAGAGGAAGCGCGUUGGAAGACAAAUGGUUGAUGGGGAAACGACAUUGUUUUCUCCUCGUCGAGGCUGGUGAUUUAUAGAGGCCGAUUCCAAAUGGGAUUUCUGGCGAACCCUUGAGAAAUAACGAACCUUUGCACUGCACCCUCUGAUGUGACCUGGCAUUUCGCCACCCUAACCGAGCCGACGUGGCUGUGGAUAACCGCUUCCCUGCGCUCUUCUGAUGGGUGAAGGCUGUGAGGGACAGACAUGCAGAGAGAGAAGAAAAGACGGAAGAAGCAAGGCCAAAAUGCCACACAGAAGCCAAAACAAGUCUGAUAAGUCUGUAGAAGGACGAGUGAGCGCUCAGGAAACAGAAAAGGCAGAGAGAGGUGGAAGCCUCGUGGUCUGGGUCGUGUUCCUGCACGGCCGCCCCGUCCCUAAGGCUCUUCCUAUUGAGAUGUCACUUUCGCUACGGUGGGGAGGAGGAAUGCAACAGGCUCACUAAUCCACACACAAACACACACACACACACACACACACACACACAGUUCUUAUCUCACAUUCUCUCUCUGAGACGGGGUGAGGAGGGGUCAUCCAGGCGGACGUCUUUGGGGCCGCCGGCGCCCGGAACUGAACACGAACACACACACACAGACAGACACACCUACACACAUACACACACACACUAUACACACACACACAC
ensembl:lncRNA